GUCAGGUGUGUGGCUGCGGAUCUAUUAACGUUGAAUUCCAGCAAAGGAGACAGAAAUUAUUGAGGGACAGGUAGAGCAGGGUCAUUCAGAUGUACAGUGUCAGAAAGCAAAUUCAGACAGCGGUUGCCUGGAUCAACACCCAGUACUGGGAUGCCUGGAACCUGUGUGACGAGGUGAUCGACUGGGGAGACGGUGUGGAGGAGUGCUCACGAGCGACACCCCCACUGUCCAGGUUGGGGGGGAUAAGGAGGGAUUGGGAAGGGCUACUUGGGAAAAUGUGGAGGUAUCAGAAAGGGGCGUCCAAUGGUGAGAUGGAGGGGGCGGAGGCUGGUAUGAAUGUAAUGCAUAUGGUAAAUGGAGGUGAGGAGAAUGGAUGUGAGGUAGGAGUGAAUGUGGAGGAGGUUAAGGGAGAAGGAGAGAAAAGUAGAGGGAAUGCUUUGGGAUCUAUUGUGUCACAAGGAGGCAGAUCAUGGCUGGAAACCAUUCAGGAAGAAGGAUGUGAGGAAGAAGAAGAAACUGAGGUGGCGUUUCAGGAGGCACAAGACGCUGAGGUUGCCCAGUUGGACAGAUGGUGUCCAUGUGGCUGGUGUAAGGUACGUGUUUAUAUCAGUAUCUACAUGUAAAGGGAGCAGACACAGGAAAAAGGUAUUGAAGACCCUUGAUAUGAUAUUGCUGUUUUUGAUUUAGAUUCCAAAGUUAACCCUUUAUUUAAUUUAUCCCUUUUCCCCAAGUAGAAUGAUGCAUUUACUUGUAAUCUGUAUUAUUUUGCUUUGGAGUCGGAAGUUCCAAAAUCACCAGGUAAGUUAAUCGAUUGUAUGUGUUUUAACUACUAGACAGAUGUAAAUGAUAAGCCUUAAGAUUUAUUUUAAAUUAAUUUAUUGUUUUUUUGUAAAUUAAAAACAGGAACCCUCGUGGACCAAGACUUGAGGGCAUUUGUACCAUCCAGCUGUACAACUUUAACUGGUUCUGCAGUCUUUUUCUCCCCACAGCCUCUGCUUGUUCCCUUCUUCUCUUUCUGUCUUCCCUCCAGGAGAGCUCCUCAGGCAUCUCCUGCCUGUAAUUCCUGGGAAAUGCCACCUGCCACCCAUCCUUGGAAGCGUCGCCCAGUCUCAGGAUCUCAUACGUCACCAUUCAUCACAGAGUCACAGCGCUUGCAGACAUCUGGAUGAAAGGAAAAGCCCAUUUUUUAAAACUUACACGUUAAAUUUUCCUCUAAUUACCAUUUUAUUCUUUUAAAUUUCAUUAUGUUUAAUUACAUUUAGUAUGGAUUAAGGCACAGCCAGCCUGGAUUAAGGCAUCACCAGCCUGUCAUCAGACUCUCCGGACAAUGCCAGCCCAGAGGGGGCUGACCUGGAGGACAUUCCCCCGGAGGACAUGGAGUGGGAGCCUCCAGGUCUUGCCCUGAGUCCCACUCCGUGGUGUCAGCCCCGUGGCCAAAGUUUCCCCAGCCGAGGAGGCUAUCGCCGCGACAACGGCAGGGUCAACGGAAAUCCAGUCGUGGGCUGAGGUCCAGGAGGAAAAAACGAGGUUAUGCUACCCAGACCUGCCUCCUGAUCCAGGCUUGGUCCAAGAUGGUCUUUCAGGGGUCCCUGGUUUGGUCCAGUUCCUGUCCUGCCUGCCCCUCGACACCCUCCGACUCUGCCAACCCCUCGCCGUCUACCGAUGCUGUUCUUCCCUCGGCUGCCGCAGACGAGUGGAGCUUCUACAGACCCAGACAGGAUUCCAAAGGCCCCCCUGGCCGUGACCCUUCUGCGGCACCCCGGAGCCCAUCAGAGGCCCUGAACUGUUCACUUUACCUCCCAUGCUACCUAGUGUCUUGCCCCUCCUAAUACCUCAGUCUUUGGUCUGUAGUCUUGCUUCCCCGUGGCUCUCCCUGGUUUCACCUCUUAGCCCGAUUUCACUGUUCCAGCCCCCACUCCAGUCACUCUUGCUUCCCGCUUUAGGUUCCCCUCUCCUGGCCAUAUUAUUGUUGCACUGGUUCCGUUGCUUGCCUGUCUUGUCUGGUUGUGUCCUGCCUUGUCUGUCCCUGUGCCAUCUUUGGUCCUUUUGAUGCCCAAUCCCUCCCUUUUGUCUCCUUCUACUGUGUCCUUUGUUCCCACUUACCCACUGACACCCACUGUCUGUCUUUUGGUCCAUAGUCAGCAUCCCUGUUGGAUUACCUGGCCUGUCAUGAGUUGUGUCCUGGGGGUUAGUCUCCCCUGUUGUCCUUGGUUUUGCCCUGGUCUGUGUGUCCCCUUAAUGAUGCCCUUGUACCCGGAGGGCACAGGAUUGGGAGGGGGGCGUUUACUGUCAUGUCUUGCCCAUUUAGUCAACCUUACCCUCCAGUUCUCCUCCCUGAUGAGCCACGCUUGGUGUCUAUUAGUCUCACCCCAUGUUCCUCCCCUUCUGUCAGUCACUAUCAGCUUCCUUGUGUUUUCCCAUUCCUUAGUC